AAAGAAUUUCACAGACCACAAAUGGGUUCAUUUGUAAAAGGUAAUAUUGUGUUAAUCAAAAUGAUUUGGAAAGAAAGGUUUCAUUUUUUCUGGAACCGCUUAAAGACUAAUUUUUUUUUUGAAGCAGUCAGAAAGCGGCAAGGUCCAAGAGAUCUGACCACUUGCAAUAACUUCAUUUUUAUCAUUACUAGGUUGCCUUUCUCACUGGCUGGCCAUUAUUACUCAAUCUACUAUGAUUUCCAAAAUAUUUUGAAUCGCUCCAUUUAUUCUGCUAAGGAAUUAAAUAUUUGUUAAAUCGUUGGCAUAAUUCUUUGCCCUCAAGGGUGAUUGGGAUUUGACACCAAAUUUAGUUUAAUAAAGUAUUUGACAAUUUAUUAUUGCAUGGCGAGCCAACACUGUAUGCCCAAGCUCUGUUGUGGGCCUUUUACCCAAAUCUCUUGAUUCAUAGUGACUGGACUAAAUUGUGCUGAGAGUAACAAUGCCUGCAACAAUUGUGAUGGCAGCUGGAG